AUAGGGUUAGAAUCGAUCAACAAAAACCAAGUGGUUAAGCCUUCGUUUCUUUUUGUUUAGGCACGAUUUAGAGGACCUCUCAACAGUUCAAAAUCGUGGGAAGAGAGGGAGAGUCGCACUAGUGGAAGAAAAUAGACAUUCUUGAAUUUUUCUAGAGAGAGAAAGGGAGAAUUCGGGUUUGAGAGCUCUAGGAAAUUUCUGGGUGGUUUUGAGUGUUUGAAAUAUCUUUCCUAUGAUCUAAAGAACGUUUUUGACGUGACAAAAGGGGCUAGAAGGGUUGUUUUCAAAAAUCACAAGUUUUCACCAUUAAAGUGGGUGUUCUUGAAUAAUUUCGAAUCUAAGAGAACAUGGGAGGUUCCGGGUUUGUUUGAAGUGUUUAGAAAGCUUAGAGGGACCCUAAGAGGUGUUUUGGACGUGAAGAAACAGAUCAAAAAUGCUCUGAAACAAAAUCUUGUAUUUUGACCACCAUUUUUGGCGGUACACCGGCGACGGGGAAGACAACCAUGAUCCGGCCAUCAUGGGUCGAUUUUCUUGAGCUUCAAGGGUUAUUUGAGGUGCUGGGAUCUUUGGGAACAAAUUCCAACCGGUUUGGAGUGUCAAAAACAAGUAGAAAGAGGUGUUAGAAUCUUGCCGGCGACGGAGAAGAAGAAGAUUCCGGCGAUGCUCCGGCGAACCCGAUCUGGGUAUUUAUGGAGGAGCUAGCGGUCAUCGAGGUGACGCAGCAAGUGGUUCGAGACACGUCAGCGGAAAACGCAUUGUUUAAGGUAAAGGCAAAGCAAAGCAGUGAGUGGUGCGGGCUCAAGGCAUGGACGAAACAUGUUAGAGGCUGGGCUCCAGUUAUUUUAUGUUUUUAGAAAUAAAUGUUAUGUUUUUAAAUUUUCAGACUUGAAUGGUUAUUUUCUUUAUGUUUUGUUAUUAAACCUAGCGUCCAACAUUUUUAUUUUUAAAAUAAUGAGAUCUCAUUGUCUGCUUAAAUUUUAAAUAAAUAUGUUCUCUUAGUGUCUUAAAGUAUUUAUUGUUUAUUAUUUUUAAAUGGACUCCCUAAGUAACGUCUCGGGAAAUCGGGGCGUUACAGUAUGGUAUCAGAGAAAAACGGUCCUAAAGAAUCUGUGGUAAGCCCUAACAUGUAAAGUUCAUCGCCAAGGGACGAGCUCGACUCACUGUACCAUUAUGUGACGCCCCACAUCACUAUGGCUGCUUUAUGGAAUGACGACUAGCCCUACAAACCAAGACAAGUCUUUCCAGCGUGCUUUGUCCUCACUCGCACACUUCUUGGGAAAACUUCCCAGGAGGUCACCCAUCCCUAGAUUACUCCAGGCCAAGCACGCUUAACCAUGGAGUUCUCAAGUGAUGGGCUACCGAAAAGAAGAUGCACCUUCCUGAUAUAGGUAGUACCCAUCAAUCCAUUUAAGCCCUCUUCAACUGUGUAGUCCCAUACCUACACAGUCGUAGAAUCAUUACACUUGACCUUCCCCAGGCGGUGUGGGAUUGCACAGCUUACCCGGUCUUUCCCCUUACGGAUCACGGGAUUUUGACUGUCACAAUCACCCCCCCUUACGAGCCCGACGUCCCCGUCGACCACACUUCCGGCUGGGUCAAGGCUCUGAUACCAUUAUGUGACGCCCCACAUCACUAUGGCUGCUUUCUGGAAUGACGACUAGCCCUACAAACCAAGACAAGUCUUUCCAGCGUGCUUUGUCCUCACUCGCACAUUUCCUGGGAAAACUUCCCAGGAGGUCACCCAUCCCUAGAUUACUCCAGGCCAAGCACGCUUAACCAUGGA